GCCUCGCAGCGGCGUACCGCCGCCAACCAUAGCUUAAGCGGAGGGAAGAUGUACGCCGCAGCUUCUCUCCCGACCUCUAUUGCCGAAUGGAUUUGGGGGAGCCUGCACAGGCAAUUUUUCAUGGAGCUGAGAUACAAUAGAGAUUGAGAUUUGGGGACUAUUCAUUAUAGGGAUUAGAGAUUGGAUUGUGAUCUUCUGGAAGUAUGUGGCAUGAGAGAGAUGAUGCUAGAUUCAAUAGAGCUCAUAUCCAUUGCCAAAUGAAGAUGUUCUUUUAAAAGGAUAUUCUUCGGCAUGAGCAUAUCGCUUCCGAUUAGCUUGCGGCGGCCUGCUGGGCUAAGAUUCUCGCUGGAUCCGCUGAAUAUCUUGCGGCAAGGAGGGCACGGGGUGGCGCGGCCGGACGGAGAAGCCGGCACAGUUGAGCUGCCGCGAAGUGAACCAAGGAGCCGUCGACCUGCAUGGAGCAGCACGGCGCAACAAACACAAAGGAGCGGAAGACGGAUUCAUUAGUGCCGCAAGUAGCAGCGCAGGUCUUGGAGGCUUCUACAAUAUCGUAUCUUAGAAGAUUUUCUGAUUCAUUAACUCAUAUGUUGGGUUGUCGUGCCUGAUUCCAGUAAGUUCUCUUAAGGUUAUCCUUCUGUAAAACAUUUGAUCUUCCAGUGACCAUUGAGUACUUUUAUCUAUCUCCAUCAUUUUUUGUGAAGUUUCUUCAAUGGAGUGGCUAUAAAUAAAUGUUAGUAAAUGAA